CAGCCUUUGCUGCUUUGCCUUUCUCUUCUUUUACUUAGAUCAUUUAUGGAUGUGGUAAACGACUUAGCAUUGUUUUCUUUAAAGACAAGAUCUGGGGGAGGAAACAUGCUGUUACAUAAGCUAAGUGAAGUGUGUUACAGUGAUGAUUACGGUAGUGAUAAUUCUCAUAACCUUAUUUGUCACUGCUCUGUCCUUUGAUAGUUAUCUUGUUGCUAGCAAACAGUUCAGUAGCUGUUUGGAACAGUACUACCUUCUUAGGAGCUAAAUGUGUCAAGGGGUUUCUGCCAGCAGGAGAGGUUUCUGUACUGGUAAGAUGAAGAGAACCAGGAGGAAGCCAUUUUUGGCCAAUAUUAAAUUAAAAUUAGGAGCUGUGACUACUGGUCUGGGAGAGAUGAGGGACCCUCAGAAACUCUAGCAUCCCUCCCAGCAUCCACUCCUCAGUUUAUUAUGAUGGCAUUUAAUUUUAAUUAACACAUUUUCGUUUCUUUUCGUUUCGUUUCGCUUAGUUUAGUUUAGUUUAGUUUAUCAUUACUUCCCCCUCGUCCUUUCCUGGUUACUCCCCCCAGGGUUUUAGUGCAGGACCCCUCUCCGUCUCGCUCCUCCCCCGGUGGCGGAGUGGGGGAAAAGAGGAAGGCGAAGGGGAAGGGGAAAAGGGAAAGGGGCAGGAGAAGGGGAAAGCGCCUCCCCCCCGCCGCCGCAGCCCGGCGGGAGGAGCUCGUCCGGCCGGCGCAGCGCUGCUCUCGCCGCCGCUGUCCCCGCCGCUAGCCCCUUCCCUUGCGAAGCUCAGGGGAGGGCUGAGGGCGGUGCUGGGUUUCCCUCUAGUGGUGCCUGAGCUCUGCAGAGGGAUGCAGUGUCCCGUCCAAGAGGCCGUCGCUGCUUGGCAGGAGUGGCCGGGUUAGGAGCUCGCCGAGCUCACCUUUCCAGAGGUACCCGAUCCAUGAAGAUGGGGAUAUGUCUUCAGGCGAACAGCUCUGGCUUUAUAGCAAAAACGGUACAGCCGUGUUUCCUCCAUUAAGCUCCCAAGGAACAGCUUUAAAGGUUCUUCAUUGGCUUUUAGUUAAGGCAAAGCACUAGCACUGGGAACGGCAGAGCAGUGACUGUGGAUGUGCAUCCAGCUCUGGGUGGGAUACAAUCAUGGGGCUUGGGCAGGACUCAGACACUUCAGUUCAAAGCUGUGAUGAUGAAAGCUGCCCCAUAAUGAUUAUCUGACCCCGGCCUGAAGUCUGUGAAUGCUACACUUCCAUGUGGUGAGGAACUUCAGCUGCAGUGUGUCCAGUGUUUCAGCCCCCAUGCAGACCCAUGGUUCUGGGGAUCUUCAGCCCAUUAUCCUACAGGGCCUGGCUGGAGUGGGCUUGGUAUACUGGUGAUUUCCUUGGAAACAACCUCUGCUCUCCUUUUUUCAGCAGGUCAGUGGCUAUCGCACUGAGGACCUGGGUUGCAUCCCUCCCUUCCAAUGUCUCUUGGAAGCAGCUAGGCCAGUGAGCCGCUCAUCACACACCUUUGGCAAGGUGCUGCUUCGUGUAGGCUCUUCAAAGUUUCUUUUGUUGUGGAAAAAGGAGCAACUGGGGAAAGAUUUAUGCAGAAGACGUGGUGUCAGCUCCAGUCCCUGGACACAGCUACUCAGUGGCUAUUUCAUGGGAAAGAUAAACUUUCAUUGGAGCUUGGCCUGAAGCCCUGGAUGUCCUGCUCUCCAGGCGAGCACUCCUAUUUCUUCACCGUCUUUCACAAUCUCCUGAAGAUGCUGAAUGUUUGCAAGAGUUCAAAAGUGAAUGAAUGGAAAGGCCAAUAUAUUAAAUCUAUUAAAUAAAAUGACACCACUCAGGAAUUGCCUGAGCCAAAGAGGGCUGUUGAGAGAACAUUUAGAGACAGUACCACUUUAUGCUCUCCUGUUUCUAUAUUUUUCUCCAAGCAGCUGUUUUUGGCCACUGUAGGAGACAAAAUACAAGAUUAGAUUGACUUUCAACAAGUAAAAAGGAUAUUUUUAUAAAAAUAUAUAUCUAUGAAAUAUGAAUUAUAAAAUAUAAAAUGCAUGUAUAUUUACAAAGGUACACAGGCCUUUUCUGUGCUGUCUUGAUAGCAUUUUACAAAAUUGCAAGUUUUUUGUGAAUGAGUUUUGGGCACUGACUCCAGUUGUAUGAGAAAGCUUAAAAUUAACCAGUAAUAAAGUAAUGAAAAUGAGAAUAACAUUAAGGUUGCAAAGUUAAGCACUUAGAAGGAAGAAAGUGCCAAAACAAAGGGACUUGUACUCUUAGGAUUGUAAUUCUUUGAAAAUUCCCAGUGUGAUGCCCUGCUGUGUGUAUUCGGAGAUAGACUUGCUUUACACAGUAAUACUCUAUUUUUAUUAGGCUUCCUCCCUGGUUUAUAUCACAGUGUGGAGGGUGACUAGCAUUGAAUAAGAGCACAGAGUGAAGGAGAGAGUAGCAUGCAGAGUCCUACCUCCUCCUUCUGCCUGCAGGAGCUCAUGGGCAGAGAGAGGAGCUGCUGGUGAACACUGACAAUGGUCACCAAGUGCCAUGAGAUGGUCACCCAGUGCCCCUGAGGGCAUGCCAGUGUGCUGUUGGAUGUCUUCAGUGAAAUCACAUUUUUCAACAGAGGGUUUACAUGGCUGCUUGUUCUGGGUGCUGACUGAGGGCACUUGGUGCUUAGCUGUAGAAAUGUUUGUCCCACCUCACCUCCGGUGAGCUAAAGCUGUGCAUGUCUGACAGCCCCACUUAUUACUGGUGAAAUUUCUAUGUCAGGGCCUAGUUCUAAAUUUUCUUUUCACCAGAAGCAGGUUUAGCUCAUAGUAUACAUAGGUACAUACUUCAAAGAAUGUAUUUUUUUUAUGGCAGUGUCCAUGCAGACAUUUGUAGUUAGGUACUUUACUAUAAAAAUAACAUGAGAACAAGUGUUUUGAUACCAACAGCACCAAUAACCAGGAAGUUAUCUGAUGCUUUACAUGCAAGUACAUGUAAAGGGUGAAAAUUGGAUGUUUUAGUAUAAGAAUUUUUCUGCUGUGAUCAGAUAUGCAUAUACAGAUAGCUUGUCAUGCUGGUAACCUGAUAAACCUGAGCAGACAACAACUGAUACAAAGAUGGUCUGUCCUCUAACAAAUGAGCAGUAUUUGUGGUGUGUAAUACUGCAACAAUGAGCAGUGAUGGGUAAUCCCUCUGCCCAGGACCUCCCUGGCCUGCUGGGCAGAUGCUCUUGCAGACUUAGGCACUUGAAAGUGGAAUCUGCUCUUCCUUAACCCCCAAAUUUUCAUGAGCCACAAUGUUUUUUUCUUCCUGUUAUCUCUCAUAAUUUUUUCAGUUCUUUCUUUGACUCUGGUAACGCUUCCACUUGCCUUAGCAGUUGCCUUUCUGCCUCAAAUGUAACUUUUUUUCUAUUGAUCAUGUUUGUCAGCAUUUCCCAUCUCCAUCUCUUCUGCUCAGGUCGCAUUUCCUCACUAGUGGCACUGUUGUUCUUUGGGGUGACGUUAGGGCUUAGGGCUGUGUUAGGAAUGCCAAAUGUCACUAUGCCUGUACAGAAUUCUUGGCCCGCAGUAAAACUAGGAGUUUCCUUAGGGACACUGAUGAUGUGGAAAAAAUCAGAGACUAAGGAUGGGUUUGUCCUGCUUGGGCUGAGUUGUUCAAGGACCACAGAGAGACCAAAAAAAGCUGUCCAAAAUGUCUCCAGGCUAUGGUGAAUUGCCCCUGAAAGUUAUUGUCACAUGAAAGGUGCUUUUUUCCCCAAAAAACUCCAAGCAACAAAAACCUAACUGUUUUCAUAACCUAUUAAAGGAUGACUGAGAGUUAAGGAAAAGACUGUAUUUUUCUAACACAUUGUCACAGUUGUGCCUUGCCUGAGAACACCAAUCUGUGAAAAAAUACACCUGCAACUCAGCCUGAAAAUUGCCUCCCAACAGUUAAUGAAAGUAUCACUUUCCUCCGGGAUGCGGUUAAAAUAUAAUUAAGGUUAUGUCACUUUGGAGGAGUUCAUUGGUGACAUGGUGGGUAAAGGGAGGCAAGGCUGUGGAGAUGAAAUGUGCUGGAAAUUAGCAUGAGGUAUUAUGUACUUACAUCAGUCUUUAGUGUGUCCUGGCAGUUUGUCAUGAGAGAAGCUAUUGAAGGAGGUGAUGCUUUGACUGUGAUACACCGCGUGAAAAUGUGCAAUGAACAGGAGAGCAGGUAUGAUGGGGAAUUUUCUAGAGUAUUUGGUCUAAACUUAAUAUAAACAGAUUAUUAGGGGUGGGGGGAAAUGUGACUAAAUAACUGUUGGCAUCCUUUAUCGGUGUGGAAGCAUGAGAGAACUUCCCCUUGAAGUGAAAAGAGAUAUUUCUAAAGUAACAGCAUCUGAAGUGUAAUCUGCUCAGAUUUUGUUACUUCCCAACAUGUCUAGAGGUUACAGUAGAGACUGCAUCAAAGAGAGUAGUCUUUUACUCUUCAUUUUUAUUGUCCAUUUUUAUAAUUAAAAUUGGAAACUGUCAUUUAGCAGCAAAUUUAAAAUAAAAAGAAUGUAACUUUCACAAAGUCCUCAAAGAAAACAAAAAAUCGUAUAGGUGUUGACACAUCCUAUCAUCAGGUUUAGAAGGUAAAUACCAGAAAAACGAUUGUUAUCAGGUGUGAAUUAACAUACAGUGAGUUUUCUCACAACUGAAGAAGGUGACAGAUAUAACAUAUGCAUUAAUAAAAGUCCAAAUGGAAGGUAUGGCCAUAAUUAGAAAUGGUACUUGAAGAAAUGCUAUUGAUUCCAGGAAUUGAAUUUAAUUUGAUGGCUUUUACUGUAAUUAACACAAUUGUUUGUAUCAGCAUAGAUCUCUUAACAUUAUUAUCUAAGUUGACAAAUUAUAAAAUUAAAUGUUCAUUUAAGAUGUAA